AGGACGAACGCUGGCGGCGUGCUUAACACAUGCAAGUCGAACGAGGCGCUUGCGCCUAGUGGCGAACGGGUGAGUAACACGUGAGCAACCUGCCCUUGGCUCUGGGAUAGCCUCCGGAAACGGGGAUUAAUACCGGACAUGACCUUCUCCUGCAUGGGGGAGGGUGGAAAGUUUUUCGGCCAGGGAGGGGCUCGCGGCCUAUCAGCUUGUUGGGGGGUAACGGCCCACCAAGGCGACGACGGGUAGCCGGCCUGAGAGGGCGACCGGCCACACUGGGACUGAGACACGGCCCAGACUCCUACGGGAGGCAGCAGUGGGGAAUAUUGCACAAUGGGGGAAACCCUGAUGCAGCGACGCCGCGUGCGGGAUGAAGGCCUUCGGGUUGUAAACCGCUUUCAGGCAGGGGCGAAUUCAGACGGUACCUGCAGAAGAAGCGCCGGCUAACUACGCGCCAGCAGCCGC
rnacentral:rRNA from 1 species